rnacentral:rRNA from 1 species
CGAACGCUGGCGGCGUGCUUAACACAUGCAAGUCGAACGCGAAAGGGACUCGGGUCCUGAGUAAAGUGGCGCACGGGUGAGUAACGCGUAGAUAACCUGUCUUCAUGUCUGGAAUAAUACGCCGAAAGGGGUACUAAUACCGGAUAUUCUUGCUUUUCAUAAGUUAUGCAAGCAAAGGUGGCCUCUGCAUAUGCUACUGCAUGAAGAGGGGUCUGCGUACCAUUAGCUAGUAGGUGGGGUAAUGGCCUACCUAGGCGACGAUGGUUAGCGGGUCUGAGAGGAUGAUCCGCCACACUGGCACUGGAACACGGGCCAGACUCCUACGGGAGGCAGCAGUGAGGAAUAUUGCGCAAGGGGGGAAACCCUGACGCAGCGACGCCGCGUGAGUGAGGAAAGGCCUUCGGGUCGUAAAGCUCUGUCAAGAGGAAAGAAGUGUACAAUGGCUAAUACCUGUUGUAUUUGACGGUACCUCUAAAGGAAGCACCGGCUAACUCCGUGCCAGCAGCUGC